rnacentral:rRNA from 1 species
CCUACGGGAGGCAGCAGUGAGGAAUAUUGGUCAAUGGGCGCUAGCCUGAACCAGCCAAGUAGCGUGAAGGAUGACUGCCCUAUGGGUUGUAAACUUCUUUUAUAUGGGAAUAAAGUGCAGUAUGUAUACUGCUUUGCAUGUACCUUAUGAAUAAGGAUCGGCUAACUCCGUGCCAGCAGCCGCGGUAAUACGGAGGAUGCGAGCGUUAUCCGGAUUUAUUGGGUUUAAAGGGAGCGUAGGCGGGUUGUUAAGUCAGAUGUGAAAGUUUGCGGCUCAACCGUAAAACUGCAGUUGAUACUGGGAACCUUGAGUACAGGAGAGGUAAGCGGAAUUCGUGGUGUAGCGGUGAAAUGCUUAGAUAUCACGAAGAACUCCAGUGGCGAAGGCAGCCUGCUGGACUGUAACUGACGCUGAUGCUCGAAAGUGUGGGGAUCAAACAGGAUUAGAUACCCGUGUAGUC